rnacentral:tRNA from 2 species
GUCUCUGUGGCGCAAUCGGUUAGCGCGUUCGGCUGUUAACCGAAAGGUUGGUGGUUCAAGCCCCCUUAGGGACG